UACGUAGGUGGCAAGCGUUGUCCGGAUUUACUGGGCGUAAAGAGCGCGCAGGCGGUCGGAUCAGGCGAAUGGGAAAGCCCCCGGCUCAACUGGGGAGGGUCAUUCGAUACUGUCCGACUCGAAGGCAGGAGAGGGAAGCGGAAUUCCCGGUGUAGUGGUGAAAUGCGUAGAUAUCGGGAGGAACACCAGUGGCGAAGGCGGCUUUCUGGCCUGUUCUUGACGCUGAGGCGCGAAAGCUAGGGGAGCGAACGGG
rnacentral:rRNA from 1 species